rnacentral:rRNA from 1 species
GACGAACGCUGGCGGCGUGCCUAAUACAUGCAAGUAGGACGCAGUUGCGAACGGGUGAGUAACGCGUAGGUAACUACCUAUUAGAGGGGGAUAACUAAUGGAAACGAUAGCUAAUAACGCAUACUAGUAGAAGGACCUGCGUUUUAUUCGGUAUUAGGUCGGGUAAUGGCCUACCUAGGCAACGAGACAUAGCCGACCGGGUGUGGUGUUCGGCAAAACGGGGACUGGGACACGGCCCAGAGUCCGAAGGGAGGCAGCAGUAGGGAAUCUUCGGAAAUGGGGGGAACCCUGACCGAGCAACGCCGCGGGAGUGAAGAAGGUUUUCGGAUCGUAAAGCUCUGUUGUUAAGGAAGCGUUACUUAACCAGAAAGGGACGGCUAACUACGUGCCAGCAGCCGCGGUAAUAC